rnacentral:rRNA from 1 species
GAUGGGGAUGCGUUCCAUUAGAUAGUAGNCGGGGUAACGGCCCACCUAGUCUUCGAUGGAUAGGGGUUCUGAGAGGAAGGUCCCCCACAUUGGAACUGAGACACGGUCCAAACUCCUACGGGAGGCAGCAGUGAGGAAUAUUGGUCAAUGGGCGCAGGCCUGAACCAGCCAAGUAGCGUGAAGGAUGACUGCCCUAUGGGUUGUAAACUUCUUUUAUAAAGGAAUAAAGUCGGGUAUGUAUACCCGUUUGCAUGUACUUUAUGAAUAAGGAUCGGCUAACUCCGUGCCAGCAGCCGCGGUAAUACGGAGGAUCCGAGCGUUAUCCGGAUUUAUUGGGUUUAAAGGGAGCGUAGAUGGAUGUUUAAGUCAGUUGUGAAAGUUUGCGGCUCAACCGUAAAAUUGCAGUUGAUACUGGAUAUCUUGAGUGCAGUUGAGGCAGGCGGAAUUCGUGGUGUAGCGGUGAAAUGCUUAGAUAUCACGAAGAACUCCGAUUGCGAAGGCAGCCUGCU